CUGCUCCUUGGUCCCUCGCUGGGCAGGAUGGGCACAAUGUGCUGCUCUGGAGUUUUGCAGCAGCUCUGUGCGUUCCAUUGCACUGCUGUGCUUUGGCUCCCGCUGCCAUGCUGGGUCUGCCAGCAGCUGGCCAUGUGGACCUUUCUAGGGAGUGCCUGUCUCUGAACAGGCAAAGGGGGGGGGACAAAGCACUUGGUGUAGGUGGUGGAAGCACUGCUGGGGUCUCAUGUUCUCCUCAAACCCCUGAUGGCAUGGAAUCUCUGAUAAUAAAAUACUGGGACACAGCAAACCCUGCCCAGUUCCUCCCUUCAGAAACAUGUGCCUCUGCAGCCCAGUAUGAGCUGCUCUGUGCUGCUCAGGAUUUACCUGGAGGGUUUUCUUAUCAUUGAUCACUAUUCGCAGAGAAGUCUCCAAUGAGCAGUCAGCUGGUUUGCUGCACAGAGUUAAUAAUACUUGAGCUCUAAUUGUGAUUGACGCUGCUGGGAUCAGGGCCCCGCUCCAUGGCUCGGGACUCACGUAAGCUAUCCGGUGCCCCAUGGUUCAGAGGUGGCAGUGACCUGGACGAGCAGCUCAGCUGAUUUGCACAGCCUCAGGUCUGCUUUGUGCCAAUGGAAGUGCUGGUGGUGCAGCUGGCUGCUGACUCUACGGCUGCAGGAUGCUCGCAGUGCCCAAAGAGCUGCACCCUGUCUGGGUUUGGUUUGAGAUGGGCAGCAGGCAGCUGGGUCUGGGGAGCAGGGACAAACACUGCUCAUUUCCACCCACAUCAGUCUGUGAGUUGCACGUUUCCCUGCAAUUGCUGUGGGAUCUGACACCCAUGUGCACUGUCCCACGGGUCCCCAGGUUGUCCCAGCAGUGGAUCUCUGCUCCCACCCCGCUCAGCAUCUGUGUGAGUGUGCAGCAGUGCUGCUGGAGCUGCUGGGGGGCACAGGGGGAAAAAUCCCCUUUCUCUAAACCGGAUUUUAUUUUUGAAAACAAUUCAAAUAAUAAAUAACAACCUAUU
ensembl:lncRNA